rnacentral:rRNA from 1 species
AGGAUCAUUAUUGGAUUAGCUAGUAGAUUGUUGCUGGCUAGCAUCUAGCAUGUGCACAUCUAUGCUUUUACACACACACCCGUGCACCUUAUUGUAGAUCGCGAGAUCUAUGUCUUUUCACCCCAUACAAUGUAUGUCUACAGAAUGUAUUUUUAUUACAACUUUCAGCAAUGGAUCUCUUGGUUCUCGCAUCGAUGAAGAACGCAGCGAAUUGCGAUAAGUAAUGUGAAUUGCAGAUUUUCAGUGAAUCAUCGAAUCUUUGAACGCACCUUGCGCUCCUUGGUAUUCCGAGGAGCAUGCCUGUUUGAGUAUCAUUUUAAUCAAUCAAACCAAUCGAUCACUUGAUUGGCUUGGACUUGGGAUUUGCUGGCUUGUCAUCUAGUCGGCUGUCCUUAAAAGCAUUAGCGAGCGUUAAUCUACAUGCACGGCCUUUCGACGUGAUAAAGAUCGUCGUGGGCUGGAAGUGUAGUAUCUUGCUUCCAAAGUUAGUCGACCAGUAAGGUUGAUAACCAACCAUGAAAUUAGCAAUCAGCAAUGGUUUCGAUUAGUACUACCGAUCUAGCAAGCGAAAGCGAAUUUGUCUACCAUGUGUAUACGGCCUUGACCGCUGGAAGCAUAGUAAAUCUGAAGCUUAGCUAGCUUAUUGAUUAGGAAA